AGAGAACCUUUUGAAGUUCACGUUUAUGGGCAUCGAAUAAUGAAAUUUUUCUCUGAUAACAACAGAAACAUCAUAUCAUUUGCAGAAUUUUGUGAAGGCAAAGAACAUUGGGAAGUUUGUAGAUACUUUUUUGCCUGUUUGCACCUUGCUGCAAGUGAAAAAGUUGGAAUAACAAACAUAAAAAAAGAGGAUGGAACUGAUGUUCUGUUGUUGACUUUGCUUUCAAAAGAUUGAAUUUUGAGUUCACUGAACUUUGAUUAAUUUUGUUCCAUUGUGUAGUUAAAUUUUAUUGUUUGUAAAUAUGUAUUUUCUCUACUUAAGAAGUGUGCAAAGAAGUGCUUUCGACUUGUAAACUUAUGUUGAUUUGUGUUUUAUUUUAUUUUAAAUGUGUAUAUGUAUAGUACAACUGUAUCAGAUUUGUUUGUGACAUGCGUUUUCACUUGAUACGAUAUCUAUGCAAUAAAGCAACUGUAUAAAA